rnacentral:rRNA from 1 species
AAUCAACGCUGGCGGCGCGCUUAACACAUGCAAGUCGAACGAGAAAGCCGGGGCAACCUGGUAAGUACAGUGGCGUACGGGUGAGUAACACGUGGGUAAUCUAACUCUUAGUGUGGAAUAACCCUGGGAAACCGGGGCUAAUACCGCAUAAUCUCGAGAGAGGAAAGCAGCAAUGCGCUGAGAGAGGAGCCCGCGGCCGAUUAGCUAGUUGGUGAGGGUAAAGGCCCACCAAGGCAGAGAUCGGUAGCCGGCCUGAGAGGGCACACGGCCACACUGGCACUGAAACACGGGCCAGACUCCUACGGGAGGCAGCAGUGGGGAAUCUUGCACAAUGGGGGAAACCCUGAUGCAGCGACGCCGCGUGAGCGAUGAAGCCCUUCGGGGUGUAAAGCUCUUUCGGCAGGGAAGAUGAUGACGGUACCUGCAGAAGCAGCUGCGGCUAACUACGUGCCAGCAGCCGCGGUAAUACGUAGGCAGCGAGCGUUGUUCGGAGUUACUGGGCGUAAAGGGUGCGUAGGCGGUUGUUUAAGUUUGGUGUGAAAUCUCCCGGCUCAACUGGGAGGGUGCGCCGAAUACUGAAUGACUAGAGUGCGGGAGAGGAGAGUGGAAUUCCUGGUGUAGCGGUGAAAUGCGUAGAUAUCAGGAGGAACACCGGCGGUGUAGACGGCUCUCUGGACCGCAACUGACGCUGAGGCACGAAAGCGUGGGUAGCAAACAGGAUUAGAUACCCUGGUAGUCCACGCCCUAAACGAUGCAUAUUUGGUGUGGGUCAUUCAGUUGAUCCGUGCCGGAGCUAACGCGUUAAAUAUGCCGCCUGGGGAGUACAGUCGCAAGGCUGA